rnacentral:rRNA from 1 species
GAUGAACGCUGGCGGCGUGCUUAACACAUGCAAGUCGAACGGUGAACGAGGGAGCUUGCUCCCUCCGGAUCAGUGGCGAACGGGUGAGUAACACGUGAGCAAUCUGCCCUGGACUCUGGGAUAAGCGUUGGAAACGACGUCUAAUACCGGAUACGAGGCGUGGGGGCAUCCCCAACGCCUGGAAAGAACUUCGGUCCAGGAUGAGCUCGCGGCCUAGCAGCUUGUUGGUGAGGUAACGGCUCACCAAGGCGACGACGGGUAGCCGGCCUGAGAGGGUGACCGGCCACACUGGGACUGAGACACGGCCCAGACUCCUACGGGAGGCAGCAGUGGGGAAUAUUGCACAAUGGGCGAAAGCCUGAUGCAGCAACGCCGCGUGAGGGACGACGGCCUUCGGGUUGUAAACCUCUUUUAGCAGGGAAGAAGCGAAAGUGACGGUACCUGCAGAAAAAGCACCGGCUAACUACGUGCCAGCAGCCGCAGUAACAC